rnacentral:rRNA from 1 species
CCUACGGGUGGCAGCAGUGAGGAAUAUUGGUCAAUGGACGAGAGUCUGAACCAGCCAAGUAGCGUGAAGGAUGACUGCCCUAUGGGUUGUAAACUUCUUUUAUAUGGGAAUAAAAUGUUCCACGUGUGGGAUUUUGUAUGUACCAUAUGACUAAGGAUCGGCUAACUCCGUGCCAGCAGCCGCGGUAAUACGGAGGUUCCGAGCGUUAUCCGGAUUUAUUGGGUUUAAAGGGAGCGUAGGUGGAUUGUUAAGUCAGUUGUGAAAGUUUGCGGCUCAACCGUAAAAUUGCAGUUGAAACUGGCAGUCUUGAGUACAGUAGAGGUGGGCGGAAUUCGUGGUGUAGCGGUGAAAUGCUUAGAUAUCACGAAGAACUCCGAUUGCGAAGGCAGUUCACUGGACUGCAACUGACACUGAGGCUCGAAAGUGUGGGUAUCAAACAGGAUUAGAUACCCCUGUAGUC